GUUGCUAAAGUUGCUGUGAAGAUGAGCGGCCAACAUUCACUCGACAGCCUCGACAGCCUCCUCUGUCAAUCUGCUCUUCAGGCUCGGGAGCUUUCCCAAAAGAAGAAUGAAUUCAUACAACGAAUUAAAGUUUGCAGGGCUGACAUUGCUGAGAGGAGGUCUUACAUCGACACACUUCACAGAAACAUCCAGAAACUGGAGGAGGAAACCCGGGGGAAGCA